UUGAAAAACUUUGUAGGUUGGAGUUGAGCUGGUCCCUCGCGGGGCACUGUGCUUGCUAUCAGCCUUCAAAAAUCUUCAUCCACCUGUGCACACACUGUAGGAGGGAUAAGAAAACACCUUUCUUUGCAAGGGUCUAGUAUUGUCCCUCUUAUGUUUUUACACACACACAAUUUGAAUGUUUAGAAUGUCUUUAAAAUGAAGGGUGUAAUAGCUCUUUAUUAUAAAAAAUAAUA
rnacentral:misc_RNA from 1 species